rnacentral:lncRNA from 1 species
UCUUAGUGAACUUUAUUGGACAGAGGCUGCUGAUGAAAAAGCUAAGGGUACUGUCAAGCCAGCUUCCGGUCACAUCAAUUGUGCAAGCAAGCUUCACACAUAAAUGAGCCGGACCGUUCGCUGACCUGAAUACAUAUUCAAUUACAAAAAAAGUAAAACUUUCAGCUAGCUCUUCAAUAUCUAUUAAAAUUGGUGCCACGACUAAACGUGAAUCGUGGCGAUUGGUCUAGAGAUUAACCAGCUCGAUUCAGACAAUCCGUCUUGAGGACGACGCUCGUAAAGCCCCUCAGCUUAAUGAGGAUGACACCGUCUCGCACUACCAUCGCCUCUGCGGUGAGAAGAUCCGUCACACCUGGGUACGGUUUACUCUAUGCUCCAAGGAAGGAAUUUGAUGAUCUUGCGAUACCACCACCUC